rnacentral:rRNA from 1 species
UACGGAGGAUGCGAGCGUUAUCCGGAUUUACUGGGUGUAAAGGGAGCGCAGGCGGUAUGGCAAGUCAGAUGUGAAAAACCCAGGGCUCAACCCUGGGACUGCAUUUGAAACUGCCAUACUGGAGUGCUGGAGAGGUAAGCGGAAUUCCUGGUGUAGCGGUGAAAUGCGUAGAUAUCAGGAGGAACACCGGUGGCGAAGGCGGCUUACUGGACAGUGACUGACGUUGAGGCUCGAAAGCGUGGGGAGCGAACAGG